GACGAACGCUGGCGGCGUGCUUAACACAUGCAAGUCGAACGGAAAGGCCCUGCUUGCAGGGUGCUCGAGUGGCGAACGGGUGAGUAACACGUGGGUGAUCUGCCCCUUACUUUGGGAUAAGCAUGGGAAACUGGGUCUAAUACUGGAUAGGACCAUGCUGUAGGUGGUGUGGUGGAAAGAUUAGUUUCGGUUAGGGAUGAGCUCGCGGCCUAUCAGCUUGUUGGUGGGGUAAUGGCCAACCAAGGCGUUGACGGGUCGCCGGCCUGAGAGGGUGGACGGCAACGUUGGGACUGAUAUACGGCCCAGACUCCUACGGGAGGCAGCAGUGGGGAAUAUUGCACAAUGGGCGCAAGCCUGAUGCAGCGACGCCGCGUGGGGGAUGACGGCCUGCGGGUUGUAAACUCCUUUCAGCCAUGACGAAGCCCUUGUGGUGACGGUAGUGGUAGAAGAAGCACCGGCUAACUACGUG
rnacentral:rRNA from 1 species